UAUAAAGUAAGUAAUAAUAGUACGUCGUGCAAAAGAGUUAAACUUUUGUUUUGUUAGGUUAAUUAUCAUACACAAUUCUAUGACCAUAUAAGAUUGACAUUUUGUGCUGACAGUUUUCUAUUGUCGGAAUACGUGUGUUGACCUGGUAUGUCUUAUGUUUAAUUUGUCUGUUGUCUCAUUAUCUCUUUGACGUAUAUCACAGGGUCAUUUUUAUAGAAGAAUUGAAAACGGUCAAUAGUGAAGGUAAGAAUUUUGAAAGGGCCUUCAGUUUUCCCCGAUGUCCGUUGUGUUUGAAACGAGCCAUUCACCUGGGAAGGCACAUGUUUUUGACUUAACUAAAAAAACUUUUCUUUUUCCGAACACAUACAGGAACCAGAAAAUAAAUUUUGAAAGUCGUAUAUUAUUUUUCCCUUCUUUUAAAUGAAAACCAGAAUAGCGAUUUUCUUAUUUUUGUUAUUUAACUUUUAUCUUUGGAUGGCAGGCAUGAUAAUAUAGAAUUAGCAGGGAUGCAGC
rnacentral:lncRNA from 1 species